AGUGAACGCUGGCGGUAGGCCUAACACAUGCAAGUCGAACGGCAGCACAGUAAGAGCUUGCUCUUACGGGUGUCGAGUGGCGGACGGGUGAGGUAUACAUCGGAAUCUACUUUUUCGUGGGGGAUAACGUAGUGAAACUUACGCUAAUACCGCAUACGACCUACGGGUGAAAGCAGGGGAUCUUCGGACCUUGCGCGAUUGAAUGAGCCGAUGUCGGAUUAGCUAGUUGGCGGGGUAAAGGCCCACCAAGGCGACGAUCCGUAGCUGGUCUGAGAGGAUGAUCAGCCACACGGGAACUGAGACAGGGCAGAGACUCCGAGGGGAGGCAGCAGUGGGGAAUAUUGGACAAUGGAGGAAAGCCUGAUCCAGGCAUACCGCGUGGGUGAAGAAGGACUUAGGGUUGGAAAGCCAUGUUGGUGGGAAAGAAAAGAAGCAGGUUAAGACCGCGCUGUUAUGACGGUACCAAAAGAAUAAGCACCGGCUAACUUCGUG
rnacentral:rRNA from 1 species